CCCUAGAUCCAUAUUAAAAAAUCUUGGGCUACAUGCAUAUUUACUAGCACAUUAUUUGAAUUUAUUUUAAGUUAUGAAAUACAACAGCAAUGGUUAGUAAUAAUGAUAGAACCUUGGGGAAGUUUUUGAAUGAAAGUCAGAGUUGUGGUGACUGAAACAGCAAGUAUGCUACUAGUG
rnacentral:ncRNA from 1 species